AACACGUAGGUAACCUGCCCAUGUGCCCGGGAUAACUUCUGGAAACGGAUGCUAAAACCGGAUAGGUAGCAGACAAGCAUUUGACUGCUAUUAAAGUGGCUAAGGCCAUGAACAUGGAUGGACCUGCGGUGCAUUAGCUAGUUGGUGAGGUAACGGCCCACCAAGGCGACGAUGCAUAGCCGGCCUGAGAGGGCGGACGGCCACAUUGGGACUGAGACACGGCCCAAACUCCUACGGGAGGCCAGCAUG
rnacentral:rRNA from 1 species